GGGGGUGAACGGUCUCGACGGGGGUCGCCGAGGGCAGGUGGCGCGCCGAGGUGCGGGUGGCCUCGUAAAAACCCGCAAAAGAAUAAAGGCCAACAAGCCUGCUUACGCUCUCGCGGCUUAGACCCGCGACCUCGCCCGGAAGCCCUGCCGGGGGCUCGCCGGCGCGGGGACACCAAACCCGGCUAGCUGUGGGCAACGCCCCGUAGUCCGCAGCGAACCUUAACGGGGCUUGCUUCUGGCCGCCCGUCCGCGGGCCAAGCCAGGAGGACAUCCAAAACGCGGACUACGCGCGUAGAGGCCUGCCGUAGGGACUUUCGGACGGGGGUUCGACUCCCCCCACCUCCACCA
rnacentral:tmRNA from 1 species